GUAAUAUGCUUUGAAUUAAUUGCUUUUUAGGAAGUCUCCAAACAAUAGAGAAAACCUCUUAUGAUAAUAUCAUUCGAGUUCAUAGAGACAUUGCAGUCAACCAACCAAGGGAAAACAAGAUUACUCGCGAUAUCAAAAAGGCGAUUCGUCGUUUACCAACGGAGAAAUAAGAAUUACACACUUUCUGAACGCAGUGGCUCAUGGUGUCUAAAACAUUGUCAAUAGGCCACUGCCUCAGAAUGAGUGGUUCCUUCUUGAUAUUGCUGGAGAGGAUGAAGUGAUGUGAGAAGGUUGUCCGUAUCUCCAGAAGAGGUUGUAAAUAUUAGGUGGAUAGGAAAUAUUAUUAGGAUAGAUCUGUAAAUAUUAUAAUGUAUUAAUAUAUAAAUAAAUAAAUUGCAACUUGAAAAU